GGCAGGAUCAACCAGGUAGCAUUCCUCAUUGACACCGGACGUCGCUUGAACCGAGUCGCAAGGGCUCGGCCAAAACGAGAACGGUCGUCGUCUGCAUGAAGCGUGGAACGCUUGUUUUCGGGGCAAGAUAGAGGUCGGCGAGACCUCGUACCCAUUCGGUCUUCCGCAUCCGAGAGAUCGAGCGCAUAGCUGUGUGCCGACGACCUAGGCACGCAACGAGGCGCGCGGGUCGCGGAACACGGCAAGUGCUUCGAUGUCCACCCCGCACCGCAAUCCCGAGCGGCGCAGCACAGGGGGGAAACGUGAUAUUUUCCUAACAGCAUGCCUUCACGAUGGGUAUGCAGCACAGGAAACCAACAUCGGUCAAGGCAAACUCGCAACUUGGGCCAACCCUUGAAGAGGCGAGCAAAGGGUGCCGUCGCUGCCCAAACAGGGAACCGACACGCCCAUACAAGCCAAUCA
rnacentral:misc_RNA from 1 species